rnacentral:rRNA from 1 species
GAGUUUGAUCUUGGCUCAGGAUGAACGCUAGCGGCAGGCCUAACACAUGCAAGUCGAGGGGCAGCACAUGAAGCAGCAAUGUGGAUGGUGGCGACCGGCGCACGGGUGAGUAACAGGUAUGCAAUCUGCCGCCAACCGGGGAAUAACCCGUCGAAAGGCGGACUAAUACCGCAUAAGACCACAGAUAGGCAUCUAUCGGGGGUAAAAGAUUUAUCGGUUGGCGAUGAGCAUGCUCGUCAUUAGGUAGUUGGUAGGGUAAUAGCCUACCAAGCCUACGAUGAUUAGGGGUUCUGAGAGGAAGGUCCCCCACACCGGAACUGAGACACGGUCCGGACUCCUACGGGAGGCAGCAGUGAGGAAUAUUGGUCAAUGGGCGAGAGCCUGAACCAGCCAUGCCGCGUGAAGGAAGACGGUUUUAUGAAUUGUAAACUUCUUUUGCAGGGGAACAAUAAGUGGUACGUGUACCAUGAUGCGGGUACCUUGCGAAUAAGCAUCGGCUAACUCCGUGCCAGCAGCCGCGGUAAUACGGAGGAUGCAAGCGUUAUCCGGAUUUAUU